rnacentral:lncRNA from 1 species
GUUAGAUAUGUAAAUAUAGUAGAACUCUAGUUAUAGUAGAACUCUAGGUUAUUAGUAGUAUAUAUAGGGCUCAUUGUAUUAUGUUUAAUAUCAGUUAUAUUCUUCUCCCGUGCUUUCUCAAAUGGUAUCAGAGCUUUGGUGAGAAUAGUAUAGCUGUGCGUCAUUCCAGCUAUUUCCGGGAAGAAGACCUCGUCGCCGUGCAAUUUUCCGGCGACUUAACA